UACGUAGGGCGCAAGCGUUAUCCGGAAUUAUUGGGCGUAAAGAGCUCGUAGGCGGUUUGUCGCGUCUGCCGUGAAAGUCCGGGGCUCAACUCCGGAUCUGCGGUGGGUACGGGCAGACUAGAGUGAUGUAGGGGAGACCGGAAUUCCUGGUGUAGCGGUGAAAUGCGCAGAUAUCAGGAGGAACACCGGUGGCGAAGGCGGGUCUCUGGGCCGAUACUGACGCUGAGGAGCGAAAGCGUGGGGAGCGAACAGG
rnacentral:rRNA from 1 species